GACGAACGCUGGCGGCGUGCCUAAUACAUGCAAGUCGAGCGAAUGAUGAGGAGCUUGCUCCUCUGAUUUAGCGGCGGACGGGUGAGUAACACGUGGGCAACCUGCCCUGUAGACUGGGAUAACUUCGGGAAACCGGAGCUAAUACCGGAUAAUUCUUUUAGCCUCAUGGCUUUAAGCUAAAAGGCGCUUCGGCGUCACUACAGGAUGGGCCCGCGGUGCAUUAGCUAGUUGGUGGGGUAACGGCCUACCAAGGCAACGAUGCAUAGCCGACCUGAGAGGGUGAUCGGCCACAUUGGGACUGAGACACGGCCCAAACUCCUACGGGAGGCAGCAGUAGGGAAUCUUCCACAAUGGACGAAAGUCUGAUGGAGCAACGCCGCGUGAGUGAUGAAGGUUUUCGGAUCGUAAAACUCUGUUGUAAGGGAAGAACAAGUGCGUUAGGUAAUGAACGCACCUUGACGGUACCUUAUUAGAAAGCCACGGCUAACUACGUGCCAGCAGCCGCCGUAA
rnacentral:rRNA from 1 species